ACGGGUGAGUAACACGUAGGUAACCUACCCUUCAGUGGGGGACAACAGAGGGAAACUUCUGCUAAUACCGCAUACGAUCACGGACUGGGAUGUUCGUGGUGAAAGGAUUUAUUCGCUGAGGGAUGGGCCUGCGGCCUAUCAGGUAGUUGGUGGGGUAAUGGCCUACCAAGCCUGCGACGGGUAGCCGGACUGAGAGGUCGAUUGGCCACACUGGAACUGAGACACGGUCCAGACUCCUACGGGAGGCAGCAGUGGGGAAUAUUGCACAAUGGGGGAAACCCUGAUGCAGCGACGCCGCGUGGAGGAUGACGGCCUUCGGGUUGUAAACUCCUUUUGUCGGGGACAAUGGUGAUGGUACCCGACGAAUAAGCCACGGCUAACUCUGUGCCAGCAGCCGCGGUAAGACAGAGGUGGCGAGCGUUGUUCGGAAUUACUGGGCUUAAAGGGCGCGUAGGCGGUGGUGUAAGUCUAGGGUGGAAUGCUACAGCUCAACUGUAGAGCUGCCUUGGAAACUGCAUUACUUGAGUCGGUGAGGGGAAGGUGGAAUUCCAGGU
rnacentral:rRNA from 1 species